rnacentral:rRNA from 1 species
UGCGGUGGUCAUGGCCCAGGUGAGACGCCCGGUCCCUUUCCGAACCCGGAAGCUAAGGCCUGGCUGCGGCGAUGGUACUGCACUCGAGA